rnacentral:rRNA from 1 species
CGGGGGGCAGCAGUGAGGAAUAUUGGACAAUGGGCGCAAGCCUGAUCCAGCCAUGCCGCGUGCAGGAUGACGGUCCUAUGGAUUGUAAACUGCUUUUAUACGAGAAGAAACACUCCUUCGUGAAGGAGCUUGACGGUAUCGUAAGAAUAAGGAUCGGCUAACUCCGUGCCAGCAGCCGCGGUAAUACGGAGGAUCCAAGCGUUAUCCGGAAUCAUUGGGUUUAAAGGGUCCGUAGGCGGGUUUGUAAGUCAGUGGUGAAAUCUCCUCGCUCAACGGGGAAACGGCCAUUGAUACUGCAAGUCUUGAAUUAUUAGGAAGUAACUAGAAUAUGUAGUGUAGCGGUGAAAUGCUUAGAGAUUACAUGGAAUACCAAUUGCGAAGGCAGGUUACUACUAAUGGAUUGACGCUGAUGGACGAAAGCGUGGGUAGCGAACAGGAUUAGAUACCCCAGU